rnacentral:rRNA from 1 species
GACGAACGCUGGCGGCGUGCCUAAUACAUGCAAGUAGAACGCUGAAGAGAGGAGCUUGCUCUUCUUGGAUGAGUUGCGAACGGGUGAGUAACGCGUAGGUAACCUGCCUGGUAGCGGGGGAUAACUAUUGGAAACGAUAGCUAAUACCGCAUAAAAUUGAUUAUUGCAUGAUAAUUAAUUGAAAGAUGCAAUUGCAUCACUACCAGAUGGACCUGCGUUGUAUUAGCUAGUUGGUGAGGUAACGGCUCACCAAGGCGACGAUACAUAGCCGACCUGAGAGGGUGAUCGGCCACACUGGGACUGAGACGCGGCCCAGACUCCUACGGGAGGCAGCAGUAGGGAAUCUUCGGCAAUGGGGGGAACCCUGACCGAGCAACGCCGCGUGAGUGAAGAAGGUUUUCGGAUCGUAAAGCUCUGUUGUAAGAGAAGAACGGGUGUGAGAGUGGAAAGUUCACACUGUGACGGUAUCUUACCAGAAAGGGACGGCUAACUACGUGCCAGCAGCCGCGGUAAUACGUAGGUCCCGAGCGUUGUCCGGAUUUAUUGGGCGUAAAGCGAGCGCAGGCGGUUAGAUAAGUCUGAAGUUAAAGGCUGUGGCUUAACCAUAGUAUGCUUUGGAAACUGUUUAACUUGAGUGCAGAAGGGGAGAGUGGAAUUCCAUGUGUAGCGGUGAAAUGCGUAGAUAUAUGGAGGAACACCGGUGGCGAAAGCGGCUCUCUGGUCUGUAACUGACGCUGAGGCUCGAAAGCGUGGGGAGCAAACAGGAUUAGAUACCCUGGUAGUCCACGCCGUAAACGAUGAGUGCUAGGUGUUAGGCCCUUUCCGGGGCUUAGUGCCGCAGCUAACGCAUUAAGCACUCCGCCUGGGGAGUACGACCGCAGGGUUGAAACUCAAAGGAAUUGACGGGGGCCCGCACAAGCGGUGGAGCAUGUGGUUUAAUUCGAAGCAACGCGAAGAACCUUACCAGGUCUUGACAUCCCUCUGACCGCUCUAGAGAUAGAGUUUUCCUUCGGGACAGAGGUGACAGGUGGUGCAUGGUUGUCGUCAGCUCGUGUCGUGAGAUGUUGGGUUAAGUCCCGCAACGAGCGCAACCCCUAUUGUUAGUUGCCAUCAUUGAGUUGGGCACUCUAGCGAGACUGCCGGUAAUAAACCGGAGGAAGGUGGGGAUGACGUCAAAUCAUCAUGCCCCUUAUGACCUGGGCUACACACGUGCUACAAUGGCUGGUACAACGAGUCGCAAGCCGGUGACGGCAAGCUAAUCUCUGAAAGCCAGUCUCAGUUCGGAUUGUAGGCUGCAACUCGCCUACAUGAAGUCGGAAUCGCUAGUAAUCGCGGAUCAGCACGCCGCGGUGAAUACGUUCCCGGGCCU